UCAGCCGCCGCGGUAAUACCAGCUCUCCGAGUGGUGUGGACGUUUAUUGGGCCUAAAGCAUCCGUAGUUGGCUGAACAAGUCCCCUGUUAAACCCACCGAUUUAAUCGUUGGCGUGCGGGGGAUACUGCUUGGCUAGGGGACGAGAGAGGCAGACGGUAUUCCCGGGGUAGGGGUGAAAUCCUAUAAUCCCGAGAAGACCACCAGUGGCGAAGGCUGUCUGCUAGAACGCGCCCGACGGUGAGGGAUGAAAGCUGGGGGAGCGAACCGGAUUAGAUACCCGGGUAGUCCCAGCUGUAAACGAUGCAGACUAGGUGUUUGGACGGCCACGUGCCGUUCUAGUGCCGCAGGGAAGCUGUUAAGUCUGCCGCCUGGGGAGUACGAUCGCAAGGUUGAAACUUAAAGGAAUUGGCGGGGGAGCACA
rnacentral:rRNA from 1 species